rnacentral:tRNA from 1 species
GUUUAUGUAGUUUAAUAAAAACAUUACAUUUUCACUGUAAAAAUAAAGAAACUUUCAUAAAUA